rnacentral:rRNA from 1 species
UAAGGAACUCGGCAAAAUAACCCCGUAACUUCGGAAUAAGGGGAGGUGUAGCGAUACACCCUCAGGAAAUAGGUCCAGGCAACUGUUUAGCAAAAACACAGGUCUCUGCUAAAGCGUAAGCUGAUGUAUAGGGGCUGACGCCUGCCCAGUGCUGGAAGGUUAAGAGGAGAUGUUAGUUGGACGUAAGUCAAAUACAGCGAAGCUUCGAAUUGAAGCCCCAGUGAACGGCGGCCGUAACUAUAACGGUCCUAAGGUAGCGAAAUUCCUUGUCAGGUAAGUUCUGACCCGCACGAAAGGCGUAAUGAUCUGGACACUGUCUCAACCAUAGACUCGGUGAAAUCUUAAUACCUGUGAAAAUGCAGGUUACCCGCAACAGGACGGGAAGACCCCAUGGAGCUUUACUACAGUUUGAUAUUGAAAUCAGGUAUGUCAUGUAGAGGAUAGGUGGGAGACUUUGAUGCUAAGGCGCCAGCUUUAGAGUAGUCAACCUUGGAAUACCACCCUUGAUAUAUUUGAUUUCUAACCUGCUACCGUAAUCCGGUAGGGGGACAGUGUCUGAUGGGCAGUUUGACUGGGGCGGUCGCCUCCCAAAAUGUAACGGAGGCGCCCAAAGGUUCCCUCAGAAUGGUUGGAAAUCAUUCGAAGAGUGUAAUGGCAGAAGGGAGCUUAACUGCGAGACCUACAAGUCAAGCAGAUGCGAAAGCAGGGCAUAGUGAUCUUGCGAUUCAGUAUGGAAUGGUCGUUGCUUAACGGAUAAAAGUUACCCUGGGGAUAACAGGCUGAUCCCACCCAAUAGUUCAUAUAGACGGUGGGGAUUGGCACCUCGAUGUCGGCUCGUCGUAUCCUGGAGGUGUAGUCGCUUCCAAGGGUUGGGCUGUUCGCCCAUUAAAACGGCACGCGAGCUGGGUUCAGAACGUCGUGAGACAGUUCGGUCCCUAUCCGUUGUGGGCGCUGGAAAAUUGAGAAGAGCUAUCCUUAGUACGAGAGGACCGGGAUGGACGUACCGAUGGUGUAUCAGUUGUCACGCCAGUGGCAGCGCUGAGUAGCUAUGUACGGAUGGGAUAACCGCUGAAAGCAUCUAAGCGGGAAGCCCUCUUCAAGAUGAGUUUUCCCUUUCUUUAAGAAAUAAGAUCCCAUGAAGACUACAUGGUUGAUAGGCUAGAGGUGGAAGAAUAGUGAUAUUUUGAGCUGACUAGUACUAAUAGAUCGACAAAUUAACUAA